GGAAGGCCGACGGGUCGUCAACUUCUUUUCUCGGAGAAGAAACAAUGACGGUAUCUGAGGAAUAAGCAUCGGCUAACUCUGUGCCAGCAGCCGCGGUAAGACAGAGGAUGCAAGCGUUAUCCGGAAUGAUUGGGCGUAAAGCGUCUGUAGGUGGCUUUUCAAGGCCGCCGUCAAAUCCCAGGGCUCAACCCUGGACAGGCGGUGGAAACUACCA
rnacentral:ncRNA from 1 species